AUCCAGCUGACGAGUCCAAAAUAGGACGAAGCGCGCGUCCUGGAU
rfam:Schistosoma rodhaini strain Burundi genome assembly, scaffold: SROB_scaffold0025346